rnacentral:rRNA from 1 species
AGCAGCCGCGGUAAUUCCAGCUCCAAUAGCGUAUAUUAAAGUUGUUGCAGUUAAAAAGCUCGUAGUUGAAUUUCGGGAUCAAUAUGUCGGUCGUGCCUCGGUACGUACUGGCGUCAUUGGUUUCUCCCUUCUGAAGAACCGCGAUGUCAUUAAUUUGGUGUCGUGGGGAAUCAGGACUGUUACUUUGAAAAAAUUAGAGUGUUUAAAGCAGGCUCGCGCUUGAAUACAUUAGCAUGGAAUAAUGAAAUAGGACGUUUGAUUCUAUUUUGUUGGUUUCUAGGAUCGACGUAAUGAUUAAUAGGGAUGGUUGGGGGCAUUAGUAUUCAAUUGUCAGAGGUGAAAUUCUUGGAUUUAUUGAAGACUAACUACUGCGAAAGCAUUUGCCAAGGAUGUUUUCAUUAAUCAAGAACGAAAGUUAGGGGAUCGAAGACGAUCAGAUACCGUCGUAGUCUUAACCAUAAACUAUGCCGACUAGGGAUCGGAUGAUGUUAAUUUUUAAUGACUCAUUCGGCGCCUUAAC